GAAAUGCGAUAAGUAAUGUGAAUUGCAGAAUUCAGUGCAUCAUCGAAUCUUUGAACGCACCUUGCGCUCCUUGGUAUUCCUUGGAGCAUGCCUGUUUGAGUAUCAUGAACUCUUCAAAGUAAAUCUUUUGUUAACUCAAUUGGUUUCUACUUUGGUAUUGGAGGUCUUUGCAGCUUCACACCUGCUCCUCUUUGUUCAUUAGCUGGAUCUCAGUGUUAUGCUUGGUUCCACUCGGCGUGAUAAGUUAUCUAUCGCUGAGGACACUGUAAAAGGUGGCCAAGGUAAAUGCAGAUGAACCGCUUCUAAUAGUCCAUUGACUUGGACAAUACUUUUAUGAUCUGAUCUCAAAUCAGGUAGGACUACCCGCUGAACUUAAGC
rnacentral:misc_RNA from 1 species